rnacentral:tRNA from 1 species
GACCCCAUCGUCUAGAGGCCUAGGACAUCGCCCUUUCACGGCGGUAACGGGGGUUCGAAUCCCCCUGGGGUCGCCA